rnacentral:rRNA from 1 species
UACAGAGGGUGCGAGCGUUGUUCGGAAUUAUUGGGCGUAAAGGGCGCGUAGGCGGCCACGCACGUCCGUUGUGAAAUCGCCCGGCUCAACUGGGCGGGGUCAGCGGAUACGGUGUGGCUCGAGCAAGCUAGGGGGCAAUGGAAUUCCCGGUGUAGUGGUGGAAUGCGUAGAUAUCGGGAGGAACACCAGUGGCGAAGGCGGUUGCCUGGAGCUUUGCUGACGCUGAUGCGCGAAAGCGUGGGGAGCGAGUCCGG